AGCGUACACGGUGGAUGCCUAGGCAGUCAGAGGCGAUGAAGGGCGUGCUAAUCUGCGAAAAGCGUCGGUAAGGUGAUAUGAACCGUUAUAACCGGCGAUACCCGAAUGGGGAAACCCAGUGUGUUUCGACACACUAUCAUGUCAUGAAUACAUAGUGGCAUGAGGCGAACCGGGGGAACUGAAACAUCUAAGUACCCCGAGGAAAAGAAAUCAACCGAGAUUCCCCCAGUAGCGGCGAGCGAACGGGGAGGAGCCCAGAACCUGAAUCGGCUUGUGUGUUAGUGGAAGCGUCUGGAAAGUCGCGCAGCAAAGGGUGAUAGCCCCGUACACUAAAAUGCACAGGUCGUGAGUUCGAUGAGUAGGGCGGGACACGUGACAUCCUGUCUGAAUAUGGGGGGACCAUCCUCCAAGGCUAAAUACUCCUGACUGACCGAUAGUGAACCAGUACCGUGAGGGAAAGGCGAAAAGAACCCCGGCGAGGGGAGUGAAAUAGAACCUGAAACCGUGUACGUACAAGCAGUGGGAGCACCUUCGUGGUGUGACUGCGUACCUUUUGUAUAAUGGGUCAGCGACUUAUAUUUUGUAGCAAGGUUAACCGUAUAGGGGAGCCGUAGGGAAACCGAGUCUUAACUGGGCGAAUAGUUGCAAGGUAUAGACCCGAAACCCGGUGAUCUAGCCAUGGGCAGGUUGAAGGUUGGGUAACACUAACUGGAGGACCGAACCGACUAAUGUUGAAAAAUUAGCGGAUGACUUGUGGCUGGGGGUGAAAGGCCAAUCAAACCGGGAGAUAGCUGGUUCUCCCCGAAAGCUAUUUAGGUAGCGCCUCGUGAACUCAUCUUCGGGGGUAGAGCACUGUUUCGGCUAGGGGGCCAUCCCGGCUUACCAAACCGAUGCAAACUCCGAAUACCGAAGAAUGUUAUCACGGGAGACACACGGCGGGUGCUAACGUCCGUCGUGAAGAGGGAAACAACCCAGACCGCCAGCUAAGGUCCCAAAGUCAUGGUUAAGUGGGAAACGAUGUGGGAAGGCACAGACAGCCAGGAUGUUGGCUUAGAAGCAGCCAUCAUUUAAAGAAAGCGUAAUAGCUCACUGGUCGAGUCGGCCUGCGCGGAAGAUGUAACGGGGCUAAACCAUGCACCGAAGCUGCGGCAGCGACGCUUAGGCGUUGUUGGGUAGGGGAGCGUUCUGUAAGCCGUUGAAGGUGGCCUGUGAGGGUUGCUGGAGGUAUCAGAAGUGCGAAUGCUGACAUAAGUAACGAUAAAGCGGGUGAAAAGCCCGCUCGCCGGAAGACCAAGGGUUCCUGUCCAACGUUAAUCGGGGCAGGGUGAGUCGACCCCUAAGGCGAGGCUGAAAAGCGUAGUCGAUGGGAAACAGGUUAAUAUUCCUGUACUUGGUGUUACUGCGAAGGGGGGACGGAGAAGGCUAGGCUAGCCGGGCGACGGUUGUCCCGGUUUAAGCGUGUAGGGGGUGUGACCUGGUAAAUCCGGUUACAUACUAACCCUGAGGCGUGAUGACGAUGCACUACGGUGCAGAAGUAGUUGAUGCCCUGCUUCCAGGAAAANCCUCUAAGCUCCAGGUAACAUUAAAUCGUACCCCAAACCGACACAGGUGGUCAGGUAGAGAAUACCAAGGCGCUUGAGAGAACUCGGGUGAAGGAACUAGGCAAAAUGGUGCCGUAACUUCGGGAGAAGGCACGCUGGCAUGUAGGUGAAGUCCCUCGCGGAUGGAGCUGAAGCCAGUCGAAGAUACCAGCUGGCUGCAACUGUUUAAUAAAAACACAGCACUGUGCAAACACGAAAGUGGACGUAUACGGUGUGACGCCUGCCCGGUGCUGGAAGGUUAAUUGAUGGGGUCAGCCGCAAGGCGAAGCUCUUGAUCGAAGCCCCAGUAAACGGCGGCCGUAACUAUAACGGUCCUAAGGUAGCGAAAUUCCUUGUCGGGUAAGUUCCGACCUGCACGAAUGGCGUAAUGAUGGCCAGGCUGUCUCCACCCGAGACUCAGUGAAAUUGAACUCGCUGUGAAGAUGCAGUGUACCCGCGGCAAGACGGAAAGACCCCGUGAACCUUUACUAUAGCUUGACACUGAACAUUGAGCCUUGAUGUGUAGGAUAGGUGGGAGGCUUUGAAGCGUGGACGCCAGUCUGCGUGGAGCCAUCCUUGAAAUACCACCCUUUAAUGUUUGAUGUUCUAACUCGGCCCCAUAAUCUGGGGUGAGGACAGUGUCUGGUGGGUAGUUUGACUGGGGCGGUCUCCUCCCAAAGAGUAACGGAGGAGCACGAAGGUUAGCUAAUCACGGUCGGACAUCGUGAGGUUAGUGCAAAGGCAUAAGCUAGCUUGACUGCGAGAGUGACGGCUCGAGCAGGUACGAAAGUAGGUCUUAGUGAUCCGGUGGUUCUGAAUGGAAGGGCCAUCGCUCAACGGAUAAAAGGUACUCCGGGGAUAACAGGCUGAUACCGCCCAAGAGUUCAUAUCGACGGCGGUGUUUGGCACCUCGAUGUCGGCUCAUCACAUCCUGGGGCUGAAGUAGGUCCCAAGGGUAUGGCUGUUCGCCAUUUAAAGUGGUACGCGAGCUGGGUUUAGAACGUCGUGAGACAGUUCGGUCCCUAUCUGCCGUGGGCGUUGGAAGAUUGAGAGGGGUUGCUCCUAGUACGAGAGGACCGGAGUGAACGCACCACUGGUGUUCGGGUUGUCAUGCCAAUGGCAUUGCCCGGUAGCUAAGUGCGGAAAAGAUAAGCGCUGAAAGCAUCUAAGCGCGAAACUUGCCUCAAGAUGAGUCUUCCCUGGGCCUUUAAGGCCCCUGAAGGAACGUUUAAGACUAAGACGUUGA
rnacentral:rRNA from 1 species